rnacentral:rRNA from 1 species
UAUUGGACAAUGGGCGAAAGCCUGAUCCAGCAAUGCCGCGUGAGUGAUGAAGGCCUCAGGGUUGUAAAGCUCUUUUACCAGGGAUGAUAAUGACAGUACCUGGAAAAUAAGCUCCGGCUAACUCCGUGCCAGCAGCCGCGGUAAUACGGAGGGAGCUAGCGUUGUUCGGAAUUACUGGGCGUAAAGCGUGCGUAGGCGGUGACUCAAGUCAGAGGUGAAAGCCUGGAGCUCAACUCCAGAACUGCCUUUGAAACUAGGUCGCUAGAAUCUGGGAGAGGUGAGUGGAAUUCCGAGUGUAGAGGUGAAAUUCGUAGAUAUUCGGAAGAACACCAGUGGCGAAGGCGGCUCACUGGACCAGAAUUGACGCUGAGGCACGAAA